AAUGUAUCCUAACCAGGGAAUGUGAAAGAAGGGGACAAUAAUUUAUUAAUUUAUUCUUCUAGCACCUUUUUGGGUUCAUGCUUUAAGGUGUAUAAAAUCUCAUCCUUGCAGAGGUGGUUGAGUACCUGGAACCAGAUUUUAGAAUGGAUAAUAUUUUGAGUUUUAAAUGUAUGAUCAUGGAAUUGUGCUUUGAAGAAACUUUGAGGUCUGUUUGAGGCUCUGUCAUUUUAGAAGACUAAAGCUUUAUUCCCUGGAGCUGAGCUGUGGUGUCUUCGGCCCCUUUCCCAACUCAUACAGAACCCUGGCAGCCUGGCCUGUGCCUUCUAAGACAGAAGUUUGGAAGACUUUUUCUCCAGAGAAAUGGAUUAACCCAAGAGAAAGGAUCUAUACAUAAUUGAGGAUCCCUCAUGAAACAAAACUCUAAAGCUCUAAGCUGUCCCACCAGAGAGCUAUAUGACAGUCACAUAGUAAUAACCUAAACAUCAGUGUUAGGGAUCGCUUAAGUCAUGACAUAUUCCAAAAAAUGGUAUAUAUUUAAGCACUUAAAAUACAUAAAGAAACUAUAUACCAUGGAAAAGUGUUCACAAGUUACUUUAAAUGAAAAAAAGUAUAUGUAAUAUGUUCUACUUCAACACCAUAAUUCCACUUAAAAGGAAUGUAUUAGAAAUCAGAUUCCACAUAAAGAUAUGGAUAGAGAUAUAUGAUGUUAUCUCAGGCUUAUUUAAAGUAAAAAACGUAUUAGAAAUAACUUGGAUUAUCAACAAUGAUAGAUUGGAUAAAUGAAUUCUAUUUGUUCAUAGAACACGAUAUGGUCAUAAGAAUUCUGCUUUAUUAGAUACUUAAUUAACGAGAAAAUGCUUAUAUUUUAUACGUUAAAACAGUCAGCAACACCAUGUAUAUGUUAUAAUCCCAAUUUCAAACACACACACACACACGUACAACAUUUUCACAAUGAUGUUAUAGGUUCAUUCACAGAGGUAGGAUUCUGGGGUAGUUUUUCUGUUCCUUGGCUGUUUUGAAUUUCCCCAGUUUUCUACAGUGGAAGUUUUUUUUAAACUUUUUUGGAAAUUUUUCGAAAAUACAGAAAAGUAGAGACAAUCAUGUAAUAACUAUCAUUUACCCAAUACCCAGAUUCAACAAUUAUUCAUCAUUUUGCCAGUCUCAUUUCCUCUCUCCCUUUUUAUUGAGGGCCAGAAAAGGAAAGGCUGGAGUUAUUUUUAAAGUAGAUCCCAAACAUCAAAUUAUUUACCUAUAAAUACUUAAAUAUGCAUUUCUAACUGUUAAGGACUUUAAAAACCUAACCAUUAUGUCAUUUUCACACCUAAUAAAAGUAGCUAAUUUCUUAAUAUUCCCUGAUU